rnacentral:misc_RNA from 1 species
UACGGAGGGUGCAAGCAUUAAUCGGAUUUAUUGGGCGUACAGGGGGCGUAGGCGGUUAGGUAAGUCGGAUGUGAAAUUCCAUGGCUCAACCAUGGAGCUGCACCCGAAACUACUUAACUUGAGGAUAGGCGGGGAGAACGGAAUUCCACGUGUAGCGGUGAAAUGCGUAGAUAUGUGGAAGAACACCGGUGGCGAAGGCGGUUCUCUAGCUUAUUCCUGACGCUGAGGCCCGAAAGCAAGGGGAGCAAACAGG